GACGAACGCUGGCGGCGUGCUUAACACAUGCAAGUCGAACGGAAAGGCCCUGCUUUUGUGGGGUGCUCGAGUGGCGAACGGGUGAGUAGCACGUGAGUAACCUGCCCUUGACUUUGGGAUAACUUCAGGAAACUGGGGCUAAUACCGGAUAGGAGCUCCUGCUGCAUGGUGGGGGUUGGAAAGUUUCGGCGGUUGGGGAUGGACUCGCGGCUUAUCAGCUUGUUGGUGGGGUAGUGGCUUACCAAGGCUUUGACGGGUAGCCGGCCUGAGAGGGUGACCGGCCACAUUGGGACUGCGAUACGGCCCAUACUCCUACGGGAGGCAGCAGUGGGGAAUAUUGCACAAUGGGCGGAAGCCUGAUGCAGCAACGCCGCGUGCGGGAUGACGGCCUUCGGGUUGUAAACCGCUUUCGCCUGUGACGAAGCGUGAGUGACGGUAAUGGGUAAAGAAGCACCGGCUAACUACGUG
rnacentral:rRNA from 1 species